UUUCCUCCUGCUCCUGCUGCUUCAACAAGCACUGCUGGCCAGAGCACACACACUUUAUCUGUGGUAAACCUAACGUUCCAUCUGUGUCUGCCAGUUGUCUGUCUGACUGACUGUCUGACUGACUGACUAUAUAUGUGUGUGCUGUAUUUUUCAGGUACCCUCUGUCGCUCCACAAGUGUCCCCUUCUACUGCUCCCCAGUGCAGUCCAUCCAACACCGGAGAUGUGCUGAGUCCCUCAAAAAGGACUAAAAUAACCAUCCCCAGCUUGUCAAUGGUACAGGUCACUGCAGAGGUACGAGAGUUUCCUGGUUCAGCUCCAGCCACAGCCACCUACCCAUCCCUUGAUGUUCAUCCUCAUCCAUCUCCCUGCCCUCAUCCACCUGUUUGCCCAUCCCCAGACACAUUCUUCCUUGCUCCUCCGUUACCACCGUCUGUGGACCAACCAGCACCUCCUCAACCUGGGGCAGAGCCUGCUGUUGUGAGGAACUUGCAGAACCCCUUUCAGCCAGAGGAUUCUGAUGCGCUCCCACUACUGUGGCCGAAGACGAUGCCAAAGCAGGACCACAAGUGGGUGUCUGCAGCACUGUUCAAGCGUGGUUCGAGUGGAAAGCUGGAGCUGCUUGACAACCUUCAGCUGUGGUAUUACCCUCCACAGCCAUCUGUGGUAUACCACCAGGCCCCAACCCCCAGCAGAUUCUUCACCCACGCUCUUCUGCUGUGGAUGCCAUACAGGCUGUGGAAGGUACGACUGCUCUGUACUAGUCCUGCUUGCACUCGGCAUCCACUGGCCAGCGGUGGUCUGCACAGGAGGGUACGCCAGGUCCUUGAUAUCGACCGGUAUUACAACGUGGUGACGGAGACCCUGAUCUGCACCAAGUGCAGAACCAGCUACCUGUCAUGGGGUCAGGCAAUGCAGCUGGACCUGGCACACGUGAGUUCAGGGUCAUCCUUACACGCAGGUACAUUACAUGUCAACAUGCACACAUACACAUAUACCAUGUCUUUGUUCAAUGUGGAGAAAUAUAGUAUAAAUAAUUGA
rnacentral:lncRNA from 1 species